rnacentral:snoRNA from 1 species
AAACUAUGAUGAGGACAAUCGCGUUCGUAGUCCUUGAAUCGUUCCCAUGCUUCAUAGAAGGAUUCGUCUGGUCGUUGUUGGAAUCCUUGUAGCUUGUUCCUCAAAAAGUUAGAUCUUGACUUU